rnacentral:rRNA from 1 species
UACGAAGGGGGCUAGCGUUGCUCGGAAUCACUGGGCGUAAAGCGCGUGUAGGCGGCUUGGCAAGUCGGGUGUGAAAGCCCCGGGCUCAACCUGGGAAGUGCACUCGAAACUGCUUGGCUUGAGUACUGGAGGGGGAAGCGGAAUUCUCGGUGUAGAGGUGAAAUUCGUAGAUAUCGGGAGGAACACCAAUGGCGAAGGCAGCUUGCUGGGACGGUACUGACGCUGAGGCGCGAAAGCGUGGGGAGCAAACAGG